ACGCUCAGUCCAGCGGUCGCUGUGCACAUGCUGCCGGGUGAGGGUCACCCACCUCCAGCCUGCCCAGGCCGCCGAACGGAACGGGCUGUUCCAGUGCACUCCUGAGGACUGCAAGGUUUCCACACACCCCAGUGGCAUUUUUACUUAACUCUUUACCCAUUUCCAACCUCCUCCUGGAGCCUGCAGAGAACUACUCCUCGGUGUAGCACACAGAAGGCACCCUACACAUUCUGCAGGACUUCAGAACCCACUGCUCCAAAACCUAAGCUCAUGUAAACCACGGAAAUGGUUGUCAAAAGCAUGGAAUGCCAAAAAGCCAUUUCUCUUGUGUAAAACUUCACUUUCACCUAUCCAAAACCCCCUAAAACGUAUCUUGAGAGGAAGUGGUGACAAGGGAACUUCACCUUCACCUUCCAUUGAUUGAAUCUGGAGCUGUAUUUAACUUGAGGUUACAAAAUUGUGAGUUGUUCACAUCUGCCCCUUCUUACAGACCACUCUUCCUGAUGAACAAGAGCAUUUAUCCUUCUGCUCCCUCCUGCUCCUUAGGCCACAGCUCCCUCCACGGCAGGAACUGUGCUCCGGCACUACUAAGGAAACAAAGAUGAAGGGGUGAAAGGGGAAAGACAGAGGAAUGUGUUUACUGCACCAUGGAAAAAGGCCCAAAAUAAACCUAGCACUUGCGUAACAGCUUUUGGUUUGUAUUGUACAUAAGGAAAUCCCUUACCUUUGAGAUUCAGCUGGAACUCCUAAGUUGCCAACGCAAAGACACAAUUACUUCAUGAUUUGAGUGUCCGAGUUCACAACUAUAAAAAAGAACAGAACUUCCCCUCACACGGGACAUGGAAGCAGGGACUGGCAGGUACCAGUAACCCUCAGAAAUCUCUCUCCUCACACUUCCAGAUGGCCUUUGAUACUAACCAGACUGAAACACAGGCAGAUGGAAUGUCCAAGCUUUCAUCAGCAAUCCAUCCACUCGCCACCUCUUCCCUAAGGCAGAAUUGAUUCUGUCACCAUCCACACAGGAAGGAACAAGGUAACCAGCUCUGUCUGUCUGCAGCAAGGAUCCUCCUGGGGUAUUAUGGGGAGAUCUAAAACGGGUAACGCUGCCUGAGCAGCCGGGGCAGGGACACGGAUGCAAAUGUCAGCAGCUGGAAACAAUGACACGAGGACGAGGUGACAGACACGUGCGGUGCUUUACCUUGGAGGAAACAACCAUUACACACAGCACUGUCUGCCCAUCAGUGCAUGGAACAGGCAGGAGAGAGGGGCGGAGAGAGCAUGAAGGCAAGUCUCUGCACUUCAAAUCAGCCUCCGUUUUCCUUUCAAAACCAGUUUCUGAAUGUUUCCCUGUGCAGGUGUGUAAUUUUGUCUUGAUUUUGACCCAACAACCCCUCAGUUCAGAAGGAGGGGCCUCUACAAGUGAAGGGCGGUUACUUCAGCCUGAUACACAAGUCCAGAUGAGUGGCUAAAUAACAGGACAUCAAGCGUGACUUAAGCGUGACACGGUAUGGAAAGUUCAAACCCCUCCUUCAUCUGUCCAACAAUGGGAUUCUACUGACUCCACCCAAAUUCUGAGGAACAGAAGAGGAAGUUUCAGAGUUUCAUUCAUGGUUGCCUUCAACAAUUUACACCCCAGUGUCAGCCUCCUCACUAAAAACCAGGUUCAACUACCCCAUUAAACGUACUGAACUACCAGAGUAUGGGACUUCUGGCUGCUCCUAUUUCACAGUUCAUGGAUUCACCAGUCUUUGGAGUGAAGGAGGAACAUCACCACUAUCUCCAAAACAAGUACAGAUCCUCAUUACACUCAUUUAUUUCUCUGCAGUCAGCACCAUCACAGUCUGAAGUGAAGGAAGUUUUGCUCAGGUGAACCAAUGUAUCAGACAGUAAUGACUUAUAUUGGAAGUUUUCUUUCUCCUCUUGAAUCUUCCAAGUGUGCUUUUAGCUGCUGGUGACCAAUCUCCAUCAGAACAACAAUUUUUUGUUCACAACCUGAUAUCCUCAUUGAAAUCUUCCUCUGGUCAGUCCCAGCCAUCAGUUAGAGGGGAAAGCACAAGAACUGGGGUUACUUUCUACCUUUUCCAAUGACUUUACUAACAACUGCUCCCAUUUGUGUACAGAAACUGAACAAACAGAGUGGUCCCAGCCAGAGCAGGAGGAAUCACGCUCACUGGAGUGACAGGGAACACAGAAAAUAGGGCAGAGUCACUACUCUGGGAGGAAAGGUGUCAGUUAAGGCACAAGGUCCUGCCUACAAAGCCACUUGCAGAGAGUGGCAAGUGAAGGGAAUUUGAAGGGAGCUACUCUCUACAGCAAACAGUGAUCAAAGCAAAAGUUCCUGAUACACUAAAAAAAGACACUUCAGCAGCACUUAUUUUUAGGACACAUUUCUUCCUGUAAGAGAUCAAACUGCAGAGGAGCAAGUGCUCCCCAGAAACCAUUUGGAACCCAACCUCCAGGACAAGGCUGAAUUCCUGCUGAAGGAAAGGAGCAACCACUCAAGCCGUUCAGAAGAGGGAUGAAGUAAUGCUUGGUGAAAUGCAGCACCUUCUUUGCAAGAUAGAGAAUUCAGCAGUCCUCCACAGGCAAGAAAGCCCCAAAAAGUGUGUCUAGGACUAGGAAUCCACGUAUGUUUGCAAAAACCAUAUAGUACUUGCAAAAUAUCUGUAGUGCCCCUUAGAAGCAAGCAGUGUAAGUAACGAAAACAUUCUGUGUGGUGGAAACUCCUACAUUGCGCCCAAGGAAUUUAAAGUCUCUUAAUAUUAAAAGUCCUCUAUUAAAACAACAGUCAGACACGUCUUGAGACACGGCCAAUAAAUUUUAAGCACAAGCCCUAAGAAGGCAUAAAAUCUGAGUUUCAGGAUUCAAAUUCUGAGACAAAUCAGUAGGAAGGAACUACUUUAACAGAAGUGAACACAAACCACCCACCGCUGGUUGUCAGGCUGGAGCUUGGGCAAUACACGUGCUACUAAAUUUCAACUUACUUCCUUUAAUAUUUAGAAAACUGGUUUUAUUCUCAGUUUUUCAGCAAAUGAACCAAAGUAUGUUAGUACCUACAUUGGAAAUGGCUCAAACUCAGAUUUACACUCGGAUAAAGCCAGGCUCCAUGAAUUCAGUGAUCCUCUAUCUGCCAUUUCUGAGUACUUGGGCAGAGCAGCGUGUCAGGACCAAGCGGCUCCGCUCUCAGCCGCACGGUGCCACAGGACCAGGCACCUCCCUGGCACACAGAGAGAGUUCUCCAGCACCCUCCAGUCACCUCACUUGGAGUUAGUUAGGGUGGAAAUUCCCAUGCAAGUUUCUAAGCCCCAUCCAGCUCCAUGUCAGUUCAUGACCCCGGAGCUGACCUGAGAUGCAAUUAGGAUUUGACGUGUUUCCAUACUUAGUUCACAAGUUUAUUAUGAAAAACGCUGCAGCUCUGUCCUGCAGUCACAUUGUUUUACAGAAAAAACCAGUUCUGUUCAAAGUAAUUCACUAUCCUCGGACAAUUACAAGGGACAAUAUGGAAGGGCCAAGAGUGGAAAAGGGAACUGAGUGCAGACAAAAAAAAAAGGAAAUCAAAUACAAUUAAAUUAAACAGUAUUCCCUGAAAAUAAAACCAACAGUUUCAGAACAAAUAUGAGGCCUUGGUACUUACUUUAAAAAUGUUCUUUAAGCUUCAAUGAUUGUUUGCUGCUACCCUUAUCUACAGUCAUGCUGAAUAAAGCUAGAGCUAAAUGGAAA